CGGGUGAGUAACGCGUGAGCAACCUGCCUAUGACAGUGGGAUAGCCUCGGGAAACCGGGAUUAAUACCGCAUAAAAUCGUAGAAACACAUGUUUCAACGGUCAAAGAUUUAUCGGUCAUAGAUGGGCUCGCGUCUGAUUAGCUAGUUGGUGAGAUAACAGCCCACCAAGGCGACGAUCAGUAGCCGGUCUGAGAGGAUGAACGGCCACAUUGGAACUGAGACACGGUCCAAACUCCUACGGGAGGCAGCAGCC
rnacentral:rRNA from 1 species